rnacentral:rRNA from 1 species
AUUGAACGCUGGCGGCAGGCCUAACACAUGCAAGUCGAGCGGAUGAAGGGAGCUUGCUCCUUGAUUCAGCGGCGGACGGGUGAGUAAUGCCUAGGAAUCUGCCUGGUAGUGGGGGAUAACGUCCGGAAACGGGCGCUAAUACCGCAUACGUCCUGAGGGAGAAAGGGGGGGAUCUUCGGACCUCACGCUAUCAGAUGAGCCUAGGUCGGAUUAGCUAGUUGGUGGGGUAAAGGCCUACCAAGGCGACGAUCCGUAACUGGUCUGAGAGGAUGAUCAGUCACACUGGAACUGAGACACGGUCCAGACUCCUACGGGAGGCAGCAGUGGGGAAUAUUGGACAAUGGGCGAAAGCCUGAUCCAGCCAUGCCGCGUGUGUGAAGAAGGUCUUCGGAUUGUAAAGCACUUUAAGUUGGGAGGAAGGGCAGUAAGUUAAUACCUUGCUGUUUUGACGUUACCAACAGAAUAAGCACCGGCUAACUUCGUG